AUCAGGAGGCUCCGAGGUGCGACGUGAACGUGACUUCCUUCCUGCUUCCUGGUGCUUUGCGGACAAGGGCGGUGAUGGGAGAGGAAGGGACGAGCCCAGGCCGGGGUUUCCACGGCUGGCAGCCCGGCUCCCUGCCGCCCGCCCGCUUCUGGGCUUCUUGGCUGGGGCUGCUCCUGACAGAAGGGAUGCGUGUUGUCGGGGGCGGGGGGCGGCGUGUGUGCGUGUGCGUGUGCGAGAGUAUGUGUGUGCGCUUAAAAUACAAAAAAAAGAAGGCUGGCUACACUCAGCUGCGAGAGGCUGGCCGGGCUCCGUCCGUGCCAAUUCCCUCCGAGCUGGCACCGUGGGGACCGGGAGGGGGGAGAGGUGAGGGAAGAUGGACGCUUGCCACGGACGAGCGGCAGGGCUGGGCGCCUCCCGGGUGCCAGCGGGCGCACGGGGCCAAAACUCACAAACAAAAACCGCAGCAGAUCGCUGGCAGCCCGUCCUGGGGAGGCGGCAGCCACUUGGCAGAGGAGCCAUGGAGGACCCGGCUGGGAGUAGGCGGCCGGCGCACAGAAAAGCCUCUGCAGCUUCCCCCACGGAAAGUGAGCCGGGCACCCGCCUCCCAGAAGGUCCCGGGAACCAGCGGGCACCGCCGGCCCCACCCCAUCUGCUCCAAACCCUUGCCACCUCGUGUGGGCACUGGCCACUCCACAUGGGGGCGGCCAUCCAACUUUGCAGCCCCAGUGGAAAGGGAUCUCUAGUUUCCAUUGACUGUUUGCGCUGCUGUCUGAUGGCCCCUACCGCACUCCAGCGAGGCCUGACCCCUAGCCCACUAAGGCCUCUCCUGCAUGUGGUGGCCGACAGGGAGCCAGACCUCUUCCUGGCAUGCCAGUCACCUGCCAUCCAUCCAUCCACCCGUCUGUCCAUCUGUCCAUCCAUCCAUCUGUCUAUCCAUUCAUUUGUUCAGUAUCAGUGGAAAACCUACUAUGUGCCAGGUUCUGUACCUAGAGAUUGGGCAUCAGAAUGUUGAGCAAAACCUACUCAAUCCCGUGCUCUGGGCCAGACAUAUGUGACGUCCUCCACGCGAUGGUCACGCAGGCACCCCAGGCCCUUGCAAAGACCAUAGAGAACCCCAACUACUGUCUGAAGCCUCUGAGGGGCCAGCCCCUGUGUCCCCCUAGAUCUGCCCACAAGGUCCCUGAAACGCAAUGGACCGGAUCUCAGUUGCUGUGCCCCAGCCACACCUGGGUGGGAGCAAGGACAGGAAGGCAGGAGGCCUUGGCAGGGGCCGGGCCCAGGGGCGAGUUGGCUGAGUGGCUUCAUCAGGGUCACUUUUCCAGGUGCCCCCACCACUGUGCAGAUAGCUCACACAGGUAGGCCACGCACUCCAUGUGCAUGCGUCCCGGCCCGGGUGAGCUGGGCUGCUGUGCCCUGCCCCCCAUGCUCCCCAGACCCCACUAUAGCGUUCCAUGAAACAGAGCUGACGGACGGCUGGGGUUCCAGGCCUGAGCUCCUGGGACGGCUGGCGGUCCCGCCCUGUGUCGGUGCCUGGCUGAGCCCUGCACAGACCCUCACCAAUGGUGUCAGGCGCCUCCCCGACGGCUCCAGGGCCAGCUGCCUGCACCUUCUUGACUGGUCUGGCCCGACCCCUCAGCCAGCACCUCCGCCUCACUGCUCAGGCAGUGACCACACCUGAGGCGCCCACCCCCCCUCACCGACUCUAACCCCUCCUCCACCUUGCGGAGCCGUGGGGUGAGUGUCUGCUGAAGGCAAGGCUCCCCCGGUCCUUACAGCUGAGUUGUUGGAUGAGCGGGUGGGGGCUGGACAGAGAUGACAGGGGGGGCGGAGGGGUGC
ensembl:lncRNA